rnacentral:rRNA from 1 species
GAUGAACGCUGGCGGCGUGCCUAAUACAUGCAGGUCGAGCGAACAGAUGAGGAGCUUGCUCCUCUGACGUUAGCGGCGGACGGGUGAGUAACACGUGGAUAACCUACCUAUAAGACUGGGAUAACUUCGGGAAACCGGAGCUAAUACCGGAUAAUAUAUUGAACCGCAUGGUUCAAUAGUGAAAGACGGUUUUGCUGUCACUUAUAGAUGGAUCCGCACCGCAUUAGCUAGUUGGUAAGGUAACGGCUUACCAAGGCAACGAUGCGUAGCCGACCUGAGAGGGUGAUCGGCCACACUGGAACUGAGACACGGUCCAGACUCCUACGGGAGGCAGCAGUAGGGAAUCUUCCGCAAUGGGCGAAAGCUUGACGGAGCAACGCCGCGUGAGUGAUGAAGGUCUUCGGAUCGUAAAACUCUGUUAUUAGGGAAGAACAAAUGUGUAAGUAACUAUGCACGUCUUGACGGUACCUAAUCAGAAAGCCACGGCUAACUACGUG